GAUGAAGAACGUAGCGAAAUGCGAUAAGUAGUGUGAAUUGCAGAAUUCAGUGAAUCAUCGAAUCUUUGAACGCACAUUGCGCCUCCUGGCAUUCCGGGAGGCAUGCCUGUUCGAGCGUCAUCAAACCCCAUCGUGCAAAUGAAUUAUUUUUUUUGCGCGGAAGUGACGAUUGAGCGAGAAUAACAAAUCCUCUCGCACCUCGUCGAAAUGAUUGCGGGCGGAAUUUGGGAUCGGGUUCCUCGGCGUAGUGUAUCAAUGCAUAUUUAUGCAACUUGCCGCGGAGUUGAGCCUGACCCACGCGUUCUCGCCGUACAAACACCUCAUUACUUUACAAGUUUUUGACCUCGGAUCAGGUAGGGAUACCCGCUGAACUUAAGCAUAUCAAUAAGCGGAGG
rnacentral:misc_RNA from 1 species